CUGGGUUUGGAGCACCAGUGAGUCCCUACACUACAGUGUCUUCUCUCUCCCUUCUCUUCUCUCUAGGCUAGAACGGACUCAUCCCUCUGGUCUCAGGUGUGGGGUUGAUGGACGGAGGACGGAGGGUGAUGGAGACAAUGGGCCAGGAGUUCCGAGCCUGGACUACAGAGAUGGAGGCCGAGGUGCGCAAAGUCAAGGGGCCCGCUCGUGGCAGCGCUUGCCGCGUGAACGCUGAAUCCCACUGCCGCGCUCAAGGGGCGGGGACCUGGCAAAAGUAUUGGGGCAUUACUGCUGCCUACCGCACCUCACAGUCCCUGUUUCAGCUACCCGGUGCUCCGAGUGACACCCGGAACCCCGCCGUCUGCCUUUGCCUAUGCUGUUCCCUCUGCCGGGAAUUCCCGCCCCUCUACCUGCGCCCGCCUUGUCCCAAAGCCUUUGCUUAGACCUUAUUUCCUCUGGGCUCUUGAGGGCAGUACCCACAUCCGUGUGGGCUUCCCAUCCCGUGGAUCACCUUGUGCUGUAAUUUUUCUGUUUACUUAGCUCAGCCCCCUUCACUCACCCCUGCUUGGCCCUAACUGGAAUGGGCUCAGGACCCAGGAGGUGGCGCAUGCGCACUAAUCGCUGACCGCUAGCAUGAAUGGCUGGAUGAGGUAUGGUGGCACUGGCGUGGAAUCCCGGGCCCUGGCUCCCAGCUCUGGGCCCGUCCCCUGCCCCGGCCCUCGGCUGCGGCACCUCUUCCUGGAGCCCCUGUGUCAUCUCAGUGGCCAGGCCGGUGCCAUGUCUGACUUCCCCUGACUUUGAAGUAAGUCUCCCCUGCAGCUCAGAUGAUGCUCUUUCCUGGAAACUCUCUCGCCCUUCUUCGCCUCUCUCCUACCCCUGAUUGGAACUCCGGGGCCCUGCCAAAAACUGGAGGCUCA
rnacentral:lncRNA from 1 species